ACUGUGAGGCAAAGCUGGAUUUGAGAAAAUGAAUUGCUGAGAUGAUUUAUAACUCACUCUGUGGACCUGCAUCUGCUUUUAGAUGAAACCACGGCCUUCAGAAUGAAUCUCUCUGAAGAAAAUGAAACAAAGAUAAAGACAGUCAAGAGUCUGUGUGAGAGUGAAUCUCCUGAACCCAGCUGUCUGUCCAUGAAGAGUGACCGGUCAAUGCAUCGUCCAGUUAAUUUCAACUCUGGAGACUCAUCUGCUGAUCUGAGUCAAAAACAUGAAGGAGAAGAAUCAAAUACAGUAAAGAAGAACUUGGAUUCCAUUUUCAAGG